rnacentral:tRNA from 1 species
GCGAAGUGCCGGCAAUUGCUCAAAUAGGCCGAGCUUCCCAAGCUGAAUACGAGGGUUCGAUUCCCUUCACCCGCUCCA